CGGCGCGGUGCAUGUCGGGAUUGGGAGUUCACCAGCAACGACUCGCAGGAACGUCAUGGCGAACCAGUGGGCGCUCCUGGCUGUAAUAACUGCAUUGCCCACAAGACACCGCUUUGUUGACGCGCGAGACUUACGACACCUGAAACUGAGCGAUACCUGCGGUUUCGACUGGAAUCGACGUUUGGAGAUAAGCGCGUGCAGCGAGGCCGAAACACGCGCUGCCAUGAGUCCACGAGGAGACACACCGGCAACAAGGACUCGCCCUCUGGAAUCCAAACGCGGUUGGUUCUGGUUCUGAAGGAAUGCAGCUAAGCACCGUUGAGCUGAUUAUCAACGUUCAUGCUGCAAAUAUGUUGGCAGCUCCUCCUCUUCGUCCUGGCGCGUGUGCCCCCACUCACCGUCGCCAGCUUGAAUCGGGACAGUGGACAGGCCUCGGAGGUCCAGGUGAUGCUGAGAGGUCUGUGAAGGUGAUAAUCAUAUGACAACAGAGCCGUGUGGCCACGAGACACUAGGAUAACAUAAGGCAAACCUGGAUAUGACCUGCACCCACCAGGUGGCGCUAUGAAGCCAAGGUUGGAAAUCUGCCUCAGGAAUAUGAAAUACUCUAGUUUACUCCUCAGGGAGCGCACACAAAGCGUAAAACAACAUUAAAAACAUAAUAUAGUUAAAAAUUGAGACUUAUUCUUUCCAUGUUUACUGUGUCAAUACAGCUUCAAUGACCGUUUGAAGUAUCGUCAUGUCAUCCAUCAUGACAGCGCGCUUAAAAUCCCCAAAACUAAAUGCUAAUAUCUUUAUAACUAUAAUAAAAUUAUAUAACUACAUCAUAAACAAGGGUUGUUUCUGUUCCUGCGUGUAAAUAACUGAAAUUUCUAAUAGCGCACACAAAAGCAUGGCGUGUAACUUUUGGGUUUUCAAAUCAAGUCUGCAAAUAACUCAGAUUCAAAACAUUUUGCCGUGUGUUGCUAUUUAGUAAAAGUAAACAGGUGUGUUGUUUCUACUUUCUGCGCACAAUAUACGAAAAGCUGUUAAUUUUGAAGGAAUAAAACUUAUUUAUAUCUUAUAAGAGGAACGAUAUUUGUCGCUUUUUUUGAAUUGCUUUGAAUUGUUUCACAAAAGCACAAUUUUGCGGGGGCUCACUGCGCGUUCAUGAAAACGGCCAUUUUAAAAAUAAUUUAACGAUUGAACAAUAAAAAGUAAAAAAAAUCCUAUUUUCAAACAAAUACUGAAUGAUUCCGUUAAUUUUUGUGCUAAUCAGUGUAAGAAACUUAAAAAAAAACCCCACCGACUUGAGCCGUUCAGGGCAGAUUCUGCAUUUAAUAUUUCAUGAUUACAUAUUUCAAUUUCUGGGUGAGGCCCUGACGUUGCUGCGGGCCCUUUACCUCCCUGGCUUUAGGAAACCACCAGCUGCACACGGAGAUGAUGAUACAUCACUUUUCACAAUAUCCUUGUAAAAUAUUUUUUCAAGCAAAAUAAAAUCUCAGACGUUGUGCUCUGCCAGGGAGAGCGGUGCAUCGACUCAACGGUUCAAAUAAAACGAGUCGAUCAGCUGCGUCUGAAUUCAUACUGACUUUAUUGAGUGGCUUGCAUAAAAAGCCAUUCUCGGAGAGAGAAAAAGAAAUACCAUUGUAAAAUUAAAAUCACUUUACAACAUGCUUACUUAAAUUAAAUGAAUGGGCAAACAGUAAAUGAUUUCCAAACGUUACAAAUAAAUUCAAAGUGCGCCUAAUGAUAGACCCCUAAAUACAAGAAAACUCGUGGUUAAAUAUAACUCCCACAAUACAUUUCAUAUCAUGUCAAAGAAAAAUCCAAGUACAUUUC